rnacentral:lncRNA from 10 species
UGGCAAUCUGUUAGGGUUUGUGUCUGUCGUGUGGAAGCUUUGUUCAUUCGUCUUUUGCAAUAAAUCUUGCUACUGCUCAGUCUUUGGGUCCACACUGCUUUUAUGAGCUGUAGCAGUCACCACGAAGGUCUGCAGCUGCACUCCUGAGGCUAGCGAGACCACGAACCCACCGGGAGGAGCGAACGACUCCAGACGCGCUGACUUAAGAGCUGUAACAGCUUACCGCUAAGGUCUGCAGCUUCACUCCUGAGCCAGAGAGACCAGGAACCCACCUAGAAGGAACAAACUCCGGACAUGCCGCCUUUAAGAGCUGUAACACUCACCGCCAGGGUCCGCAGCUGCAUUCUUGAAGUCAGUGAGACCAAGAACCCACCAAUUCCAGACACACUGUCAUCAAAAAGUGGGAUAUCUUUUUAAACAGAGAUAACAUUGCAGAAUCUUGGAGUUGGAAAUAGACCUCAGCUGGGGUUUAGUCCUGUUUUCUCCUCAGAGCAGAAGUCCUGGGAUGCCGUUCUGGACUGAUUGUCAGUUUUUUCUCCUGUCCUUGAGCUAUUCUAAUGCCAGACAUCUGUGGCUUUACACAGCCAGGCUUUCAGUUAGAGAACUUGGUUAGCUCAGGUCAACAAAUGCUGCUCUGAGAACACUGACUCCCAUGUGGGGAGACUCUGCACCUGGAGCUCCGGGAGAGCCGGCUCAGGCCUCUUCCUGCUAUCCAGGGAACUGCAGUGGCGUUGGAGGGCCUUGCUGGGGCUGGGGCUGGGGAGAAGGGAUUCCAACCCUACUGAUAAUUCGUUUGGAAACACCGGGCUGUGGAUUUCAGAAGUUCUUGGGCAGCCUGAUUACCACUGGCAGUGAGCCGGGGACGAAGCCGAAGCUAUGAGUGACAGACGGAAAGAACUGGGGGCUUUGGUGAACCAGAGAACACUUAGCUCCUCCAGCCCUGAAGCAGGCGUCACCGCAGGGCUUAUGGUCCUAAGAGCCACUUAGUUUCCUUAUUCAUUAAACUAGUUUAAUUUGGGUUUUCUGCAUCCUGGAGGACACCAAGUCGGUGUGCGGAGGGACCCUGUAGACACGUGUGCAAAGAAUAAGCCGACGAUCAUGGAAUUUCUGAUGACGCCACUGACACGUGGGAUGGAGGCCUCCUUCCCAGGGCACCCCUACACUCAUGACAAUGAAUCCUGGCUCUUAUUCACCCCUUUGGAUUUCACAAGCAAGUAAGAAAAGAGAAGGACAGAAUUAAACAUGGGGACAGAUGAAGAAGUAAAGAAGAUGAAAAUGAGGAAGAUAAAAAACAAACUGAAGGUAAUUAAGCAAUUGCUGGAAGAAGGACUAGACGAAGGAAAAUUGAAUUGGAGACUAUUAUUCUAAGAGAUGUAACUCAGGAAUGGAAAACCAAACAUCGUGUGCUCUCACUUAUAAGUGGGAGCUAAGCUAUAAGGAUGCAAAGGCAUAAGAAUGAGACAAUGGACUUGGGGGACUCGGGGGAAAGUGUGGGAGGGGGUGAGGGAUAAAAGACUACACAUUGGGUACUGUGUAUCCUGCUCGGGUGAUGGGUGCACCAAGAUCUCAGAAAUCACCACUAAAGAACUUGUUCAUGUAACCAAACACCAGCUGUUCCCCAAGAAACCUACUGAAAUAAAAAAAAAAUCAAUUAAAAAAUAGAAAAAGAAAGGAUGGAACAGAACAAGGGAAUGAAAGAAGGACCUAGAAGAAAUGAAAUAGG